AUACGUAGGGUGCGAGCGUUGUCCGGAAUUACUGGGCGUAAAGAGCUCGUAGGUGGUUUGUCGCGUCGUCUGUGAAAUUCCGGGGCUUAACUCCGGGCGUGCAGGCGAUACGGGCAUAACUUGAGUACUGUAGGGGAGACUGGAAUUCCUGGUGUAGCGGUGAAAUGCGUAGAUAUCAGGAGGGACACCGGUGGCGAAGGCGGGUUUCAGGGAUGACACUGGCACUGAGGGGCGUAAGCAUGGGGAGCGAAAGGGAUGAUUUACCCGGAUAGUCAAUGCCGUGACCGGGGGGCGCUCGGUGUAGGGGCCUUCCACGCCUUCUGGGCCGUAGCUAACGCAUUAAGCGCCACGCCUGGGGAGUACGGCCGCAAGGCUAAAACUCAAAUGAAUUGACUGGG
rnacentral:rRNA from 1 species